rnacentral:misc_RNA from 1 species
GUGGAUCAGAUUGAGAUGAGAAGUGCAGAACAAGUAGUGGAUGAGUUAAUCUCGAGUAGUUUGGUGAUACCUUUCGAUAAUUCUAUUUACAAAAUUCAUGAUCUUGUGCAUGACUUUUGUUAUAUAAAAGGUAGAAAGGAAAACUUGUUUCACUUCAUAGAAGGUUCAAAAGCUCUGUCUUCGGAUCUUAUGCCACGUGGAAUCAUCAUUCAUUCUAAUAGACAUGUAUUUCCUCUCGAUGACAGUUUUGUGGUGUUUGAUCGUGAAAAGAAGAAUCCUUAUGUUAAACACCU